GGAGCGCGGAGCGCGCGCGCGCGCGUGGCGGCGCCCCGGCGCGGGGCCGGGUCCGGCGGGCCAGUCGGUCGGCUCCCCGCGCCGCUCCGUUUGUUCCUGGGUUCGUUCGUUCGUUCGUUCCUUCCUUCCUUCCCCGGCCCCGCGCCGGCGCCGGCGCGGGGUUGGAAAGAGGGGGAGAGGGGCGGGGGGCGCGGCCGGCCCCCUUCCCCGUUUCCGUCCCCGCGGCGCGUGCCGUGGGACGGGCUCCCUCCGUUUUACCCGAGCCCGGGGUUGACCUGGCGGCCGGGCGGCCGGGCUAGGGGGCGCUCCGCGUCCCCCUUCGGGGGGUUGACCUGUCGGGCG
rnacentral:misc_RNA from 1 species